AGAGUUUGAUCCUGGCUCAGAGCGAACGUUAGCGGCGGGCCUAACACAUGCAAGUCGAGCGAGAACGGGGCUUCGGCUCCUAGUAAAGCGGCGGACGGGUGAGUAAUGCGUAGGUAAUCUUCCCUCGAGCGGGGGACAACGUUCCGAAAGGGACGCUAAUACCGCAUACGUUCUCCGAGACUCCGGUCUUGGAGAGGAAA
rnacentral:rRNA from 1 species